UGCGAGUCAUAUGUUCUUCGUGAACAUGGCGUACUGCUCUGUAACACGUGGAUAACCUGCCCUUGGGACCGGGAUAACCCCGGGAAACUGGGGAUAAUACCGGAUAACGCAUAUCUGCUGGAAUGCUUUAUGCGUAAAAUGGAUUUGUCUGCCCAAGGAUGGGUCUGCGGCCUAUCAGGUAGUAGUGGGUGUAAUGUACCUACUAGCCUACGACGGGUACGGGUUGUGGGAGCAAGAGCCCGGAGAUGGAUUCUGAGACAUGAAUCCAGGCCCUACGGGGCGCAGCUGGCGCGAAAACUUUACAAUGCGGGAAACCGUGAUAAGGGGACACCGAGUGCCAGCAUCAUAUGUUGGCUGUCCAGAUGUGUAAAAUACAUCUGUUAGCAAGGGCCGGGCAAGACCGGUGCCAGCCGCCGCGGUAACACCGGCGGCCCGAGUGGUGAUCGUGAUUAUUGGGUCUAAAGGGUCCGUAGCCGGUUUGGUCAGUCCUCCGGGAAAUCUGACGGCUCAACCGUUAGGCUUUCGGUGGAUACUGCCAGACUUGGAACCGGGAGAGGUAAGAGGUACUACAGGGGUAGGAGUGAAAUCUUGUAAUCCCUGUGAGACCACCUGUGGCGAA
rnacentral:rRNA from 1 species